rnacentral:rRNA from 1 species
AUUGAACGCUGGCGGCAGGCCUAACACAUGCAAGUCGAACGAGUGGCGGACGGGUGAGUAAUGUCUGGGAAACUGCCCGAUGGAGGGGGAUAACUACUGGAAACGGUAGCUAAUACCGCAUACCAUCGGAUGUGCCCAGAUGUGAUUGGCUAGUAGGUGGGGUAACGGCUCACCUAGGCGACGCUCCCUAGCUGGUCUGCGAGGAUGACCAGCAACACUGGAACUGGGACACGGUCCAGACUCCUACGGGAGGAAGCAGUGGGGAAUAUUGCACAAUGGGCGCAAGCCUGAUGCAGCCAUGCCGCGUGUAUGAAGAAGGCCUUCGGGUUUUAAAGUACUUUCAGCGGGGAGGCGUUACUCGCAGAAGAAGCACCGGCUAACUCCGUGCCAGCAGCCGCGGUAAUAC